GAGGGUAUAGCUCAAGAGGUAGAACAUGUGCUUGGCAUGCAUGAGGUCCUGGGUUCAAUCCCCAAUACCUCCA
rnacentral:tRNA from 1 species